rnacentral:tRNA from 1 species
GGAGGGGUGGCAGAGCGGUUGAAUGCACUCGACUUGAAAUCGAGCGACCGAAAGGUCCGUGGGUUCGAAUCCCACCCCCUCCG